AAAAGUCCAAGAAAAAUGCGGAAGGUCAACAAAAAUACCAAUGAUUUGACCUUAAAAUUUGGGAGAAUUUUUUUUUUUAAAAUGGUUAAAAUAAAAAAUGUAAAAAUAAAAUAAAAUGGAAAAUAAAAUAAAAUAUAAAAUAAAUGCAAAAAUGAUUUUAAAAAUUGUGCAAAAAUAGUAUGAGAUAGAAUUUAUUUUUAUGAAAUUAUGGAAAAAAA
rnacentral:lncRNA from 1 species